UACGUAGGGGGCAAGCGUUGUCCGGAUUUAUUGGGCGUAAAGCGCUCGCAGGUGGUUCGAUGCGUCGUGCGUGAAAGACCCCGGCUCAACUGGGGAGGGUCACGCGAUACUGAUCGACUCGAAGGCAGGAGAGGGUAGUGGAAUUCCCGGUGUAGUGGUGAAAUGCGUAGAUAUCGGGAGGAACACCAGUGGCGAAGGCGACUUCCUGGCCUGUUCUUGACGCUGAGGCGCGAAAGCUAGGGGAGCAAACGGGG
rnacentral:rRNA from 1 species